AACUGCGAGUGAAGCGGGAAAAGCUCAAAUUUAAAAUCUGACGGUUCUUUGGCCGUCCGAGUUGUAAUUUAGAGAAGCGUCUUCCGCGCCAGACCGUGCACAAGUCUCCUGGAAUGGAGCGUCAUAGAGGGUGAGAAUCCCGUCUUUGGCACGGAUCCUUGGUGCUUUUGUGAUGCGCUCUCGAAGAGUCGAGUUGUUUGGGAAUGCAGCUCAAAAUGGGUGGUGAACUCCAUCUAAAGCUAAAUAUUGGCGAGAGACCGAUAGCGAACAAGUACCGUGAGGGAAAGAUGAAAAGCACUUUGGAAAGAGAGUGAAACAGUACGUGAAAUUGUUGAAAGGGAAACGCUUGAAGUCAGUCGCGUCUACCGAGACUCAGCCUUGCCUUGGCUUGGUGUACUUCUCGGCCUGACGGGUCAGCAUCAAUUUGGCCCCUCGGAUAAUGGCAAGGGAAAGGUGGCACCUUUGCGGGUGUGUUAUAGUCUCCUGUCGCAUGCGAGGGGGGAGAUUGAGGAACUCAGCACGCACCUCGGUGUUGGGGCUUCG
rnacentral:rRNA from 1 species